GCGAGGUUGGAGGCACGACGCGACGGCUGGAUGCAACUAUUCGUACCCAGUGACUGUCCGUGUUGCAUACUGUAAAACUGAAGGCGCUCCUUGCCCCUCGCCAGAGCAAUGUGCGGAUGAAGCUAUCAAACUCAUUUACGUACUGCUGCUACUGUUGCCUAUAUUCCUUCUAGGCUUCAAAAACGUAGCUGCGAGUAUAGGCCAUGGUCCAGGCCUUCUUCCAGCUCCUCUUGUUGUCGGCUGGACCAAGUACGUCCCUCAGGCGGUGCCACCUCACGCCUGGACCUCCACGUACCUCAACACUGGCAUCCGGGUCCUCCCUGCGCCUCCUUACUAUGCCCCAGCUUAUCCCCAUCCGGUUCCCGUACCCUACCCAGCCCAACCUCUCAUCCCUGCUACACCUGUCCCCACCCUAAACGCCGCAACCCCUCUAGUACCCACUCCUACCUUCAAUUCUGCCCCUCCUCCACCCCUCACUCCUGCUUUCAACCCACAACACCACUCUUUCCUACCCCUACGUUUAACUCUGCCCCUCUCCCCACCCCAACUUCAACUCUCCAAGACCCUUCAUACCUACCCCAGCUUUCAACUCUCCAAGACCCUUCUUGCCUACCCCCGCUUUCAGCUACGCUCCAUCCUUCCCCACCCCGGUUUUCAACUCUCUUCCACCCUUCACCCCCACUCCGAUCUCACCCCCACCAACAUUCAGAGGAAAUCCGGUUUUCAAGUCACCAUAUCCGGUUCCCUUCCCGCGACCAGUAGAGCCAGGACCAGACUCGAGGGUGCCCGUGUCACCUUCGGGUAAUUUGUUCGCGUCUCCCGGAUUUCAAGGUAAUUUCGCUUCACCUUACGUGAGCCACCCCAGUGUUGGGGGCCCCCCUCGGCCGUACCCUAUCCGGGGCCCUCCUCCCUCAUAUAGCGUGACUGAGCUUGAGCCUGAAGAUACGUAUGGGCCCCCUCCUAACCCUUACGUCGGCAAGUACCGCUCUGCACCUUCCGAGAAGUACGGACCACCGUCACGUGUGGAGCCGUUCCGAGAGCACCCUACUCACCCGUCGGUAUCCCAUGUGGUGAGAAUCGUUGCCAGACCAUCGCGGUAUUCGGAGUUUUUCCGAUGAGGUGGUACUUCCGAUUAGACUGGAAGCCUUGCAGAGUUAAAGACUUGACUUGAGAAAUUGUAAAAAAGAGAAAAAAAACUUGUGCAUAUCUUGUAUAGUUACAGUUCCUAUUACCCUAUUAGAGAAAUGUAAUUGAUGUAUUUUUGUAAUAAACGUUUGAUGUUUUGUUUCAUAUAUUCACGUUUUCUAUUUCCAUUCCAUGCAUGCAUAAAAUUCAUUAAAUGGACUUCAUUAAGCAGAUUGAAACCAAGCCACAUCAGCUAUUGCCAAAUUUAAUUUGACAAUUUAAUUUUUUGCAUGAAAACGGUUGUGCAGAUUUUUGUGCAAAUUUCAGUGAAUUUUCUGCAUAGUAAUGAGACAAAUUCUUCAGAAUUCUCAAUGGAAACCGUAGAGACGUUCUCUUGUAAAAAAUGAAAUUGCCCGGUUUUAUGGCAAUAGCUGAUUUGGAUUGGUUGCUUUCUGCUAAACGCGGUCCAAAUAUGAGAUAGCCUUUUGCACAAAUAAUAAUAAUCGGUAACGGUCAUAGAAAACUCUGUAACAAGGGCUCUAGAGAUUUCCUGUUACGUUUAUGGAAUUUUUUGUUUUGCGAGCACACAGUGUUUUUAGCUCACACUCCAAGUUUGGGCCUUAUGACAGGGACAUGCAUUGCAACCGGGAGGCCUCUAAAAUUUUGAAAUACAUUUGUUUUAUUUCCAACGCCAACUAUUAAUUUUAUUUUAUCGCAUAAAAGUUACGGAUAAGUUGAGGAUUAAGUGGCAUAGUAAGUACUCUGGAGCUGUCAUUUUAAACCAGUUAAAAAAAAUCUGAAACUCGGACUUGGUCUCAAAGUUGAGUAGGGCGAGUCUUAGAGGGUUUGUAAACAUUUCUUCCUUAAAGGUUAUUUAAAUGAAGGUGCGCAUUUUUCUUUGAAAAUCUGAAUGUGGC
rnacentral:lncRNA from 1 species